rnacentral:lncRNA from 1 species
CACCUGUGCUUGAGGACGAGCUCUCUGUUCUGAGUGAAGAGCAGAGCACCGCCAGGGCUCUCAGGAGUGCGCUGGAAUGCGCUGGCCGGCGUGGAGACAGGAUGCCGAGGAGCACACGGAGAGCGCCGAGCGGAGAAGGCUGGGGAAUGCCCUGCACAUCGUUAGAAUAUCACCUUUGAAAACGUGGGGACUGCGGCUUGACAAAAGCAAGAGGGAAAUAAGUAUAAUGAGGCAUUUUCACUGGUCCAGCUGUGUCAUGGGGAAGGUUUCCCUCAGCUCCAGGUGGAAUACUCUGGACAGUCCCUACGUCUCCCAGGAAAUAGAGCAUCAUCCUUCUGUGAUGAAAGUGGAAUAG